AUUGAACGCUGGCGGCAGGCCUAACACAUGCAAGUCGAGCGGAUGAUGGGAGCUUGCUCCUUGAUUCAGCGGCGGACGGGUGAGUAAUGCCUAGGAAUCUGCCUGGUAGUGGGGGACGACGUUUCGAAAGGAACGCUAAUACCGCAUACGUCCUACGGGAGAAAGCAGGGGACCUUCGGGCCUUGCGCUAUCAGAUGAGCCUAGGUCGGAUUAGCUUGUUGGUGAGGUAAUGGCUCACCAAGGCGACGAUCCGUAACUGGUCUGAGAGGAUGAUCAGUCACACUGGAACUGAGACACGGUCCAGACUCCUACGGGAGGCAGCAGUGGGGAAUAUUGGACAAUGGGCGAAAGCCUGAUCCAGCCAUGCCGCGUGUGUGAAGAAGGUCUUCGGAUUGUAAAGCACUUUAAGUUGGGAGGAAGGGUUGUAGAUUAAUACUCUGCAAUUUUGACGUUACCGACAGAAUAAGCACCGGCUAACUCUGUGCCAGCCGCCGCAGUAAUAC
rnacentral:rRNA from 1 species